GUUGUAUGGUUAAGUGACUAAGCGUACACGGUGGAUGCCUUGGCAGUCAGAGGCGAUGAAAGACGUAGUAACUUGCGAUAAGCCCAGAUUAGGUAGUAACAACCAUUUGAGUCUGGGAUUUCUGAAUGGGGAAACCCACGUGCAUAAGCACGUAUCCUUACCUGAAUACAUAGGGUAAGGAGGCGAACCGGGGGAACUGAAACAUCUAAGUACCCCGAGGAAAAGAAAUCAACCGAGAUUCCGAAAGUAGCGGCGAGCGAAAUUGGACUAGCCCUUAAGCUUUACACGCGUUAGACGAACGGUCUGGAAAGUCCGACGAUACAGGGUGAUAGUCCCGUAGUUGACGACGUGUGUUCAGUGAAAUCGAGUAGGGCGGGACACGUGAUAUCCUGUCUGAAUAUGGGGGGACCAUCCUCCAAGGCUAAAUACUACUGACUGACCGAUAGUGAACCAGUACCGUGAGGGAAAGGCGAAAAGAACCCCUGUGAGGGGAGUGAAAUAGAACCUGAAACCGUGUACGUACAAGCAGUAGGAGCAGGCUUGUCCUGUGACUGCGUACCUUUUGUAUAAUGGGUCAGCGACUUAUAUUCAGUGGCAAGGUUAACCAUCUAGGGGAGCCGUAGGGAAACCGAGUCUUAACUGGGCGUUCAGUCUCUGGAUAUAGACCCGAAACCAGGUGAUCUAGCCAUGGGCAGGUUGAAGGUUGAGUAACAUCAACUGGAGGACCGAACCGACUAAUGUUGAAAAAUUAGCGGAUGACUUGUGGCUAGGGGUGAAAGGCCAAUCAAACCUGGAGAUAGCUGGUUCUCCCCGAAAGCUAUUUAGGUAGCGCCUCGGACGAAUACUACUGGGGGUAGAGCACUGUUAAGGCUAGGGGGUCAUCCCGACUUACCAACCCUUUGCAAACUCCGAAUACCAGUAAGUACUAUCCGGGAGACACACGGCGGGUGCUAACGUCCGUCGUGGAGAGGGAAACAACCCAGACCGCCAGCUAAGGUCCCAAAUUACUACUAAGUGGGAAACGAUGUGGGAAGGCUCAGACAGCCAGGAUGUUGGCUUAGAAGCAGCCAUCAUUUAAAGAAAGCGUAAUAGCUCACUGGUCGAGUCGGCCUGCGCGGAAGAUGUAACGGGGCUAAGUAGUAAACCGAAGCUGCGGCAAUGCACUUUGUGCAUUGGGUAGGGGAGCGUUCUGUAAGCGGUUGAAGGUGUGUGGUAACGCAUGCUGGACGUAUCAGAAGUGCGAAUGCUGACAUGAGUAACGAUAAAGGGGGUGAAAAACCUCCUCGCCGGAAGACCAAGGGUUCCUGUCCAACGUUAAUCGGGGCAGGGUAAGUCGACCCCUAAGGCGAGGCCGAAAGGCGUAGUCGAUGGGAAACGGGUUAAUAUUCCCGUACUUCUUACAAUUGCGAUGGGGGGACGGAGAAGGCUAGGUGGGCCUGGCGACGGUUGUCCAGGUUCAAGUGCGUAGGCUUAAGAGUUAGGUAAAUCCGGCUCUUUUUAAGGCUGAGACACGACGUCGAGCACCUACGGGUGUGAAGUCAUUGAUGCCAUGCUUCCAGGAAAAGCCUCUAAGCUUCAGAUUGUAAGGAAUCGUACCCCAAACCGACACAGGUGGUCGGGUAGAGAAUACCAAGGCGCUUGAGAGAACUCGGGUGAAGGAACUAGGCAAAAUGGUACCGUAACUUCGGGAGAAGGUACGCUCU
rnacentral:rRNA from 1 species